CCUCCCCUGGACCCUGGUCGCGUUCCGGGAUGUGACUGAUGUCGAUUUCGUGUUAAUUCGGUUGCUGGACGUUUUGUACCCUUAAACUCCCGUUAAGGAGACGUAUUUUGCAGUCACUGCUUUAUAUAUAUGUGCGAUGGAGUGAUAUUGGUCUGUGUUGUGGUUGACUGUGCUUCGUGUUCUUGUGUUCUUGCCCCAAUCGAACUCGUGCUCUUGUGUUAUUUUGUUGGUUCCGUGAUUCUGUCUAAUCCCCGUGCUCAACUCCGAAUCUUCCCCCAAUAGAGUGCCUCGACAUGGAGGAGCAGAGCAGGGUGAGCCUCGUCCCUGGGGAAACAGCAGAUUCAGUUUCGCCUGCGCGGUGUGCCGCAGAUUUCUCCACGGCGUCGUCACGGCAUGUUCUGGGGCUGACAUUGCAGAUGGUUCACAGAUUUCUGAGCCUGCACUACUCAACCGACCCCAAGGGUCUUCGUCGGAAGUUCAGCAGGCGGGGGCAUGGGUGAUCCCGUUUGUCUCUGCUGCUUGGACGAGCAGAUGGCCUACCAUGCUCUGUCGGAACUGAAACCCGGAGUGAAGAACUGGAAUGUCUGCGUUCAUGUCUCCCACCUCUGGGAAUACCGCGGUGGCACCGACACUGGUCCGGUGCA